rnacentral:tRNA from 1 species
UGGCCCAUUCGUCUAUUGGUUAGGACGUCAGGUUUUCAUCCUGGAAAGAGGGGUUCGAUUCCCCUAUGGGCUAUCAAAAAAUACUGGAUCAUUCUUAUG